rnacentral:rRNA from 1 species
UACGAAGGGGGCUAGCGUUGCUCGGAAUCACUGGGCGUAAAGCGCACGUAGGCGGAUUGCUAAGUCAGGGGUGAAAUCCUGGAGCUCAACUCCAGAACUGCCUUUGAUACUGGCAACCUUGAGUCCGGGAGAGGUGAGUGGAACUGCGAGUGUAGAGGUGAAAUUCGUAGAUAUUCGCAAGAACACCCGUGGCGAAGGCGGCUCUCUGGAACGCAACUGACGCUGAGACGCGAAAGCGUGGGGAGCAAACAGG